rnacentral:rRNA from 1 species
UACGUAGGGGGCUAGCGUUGUCCGGAAUCAUUGGGCGUAAAGAGCGCGUAGGCGGCUGGAAUAGUCCGGUGUGAAAUCCACAGGCUUAACCUGUGAAUGCCGCUGGAAACUGUCUGGCUAGAGUCCGGUAGGGGAGCAUGGAAUUCCUGGUGUAGCGGUGAAAUGCGCAGAUAUCAGGAGGAACACCAGUGGCGAAGGCGGUGCUCUGGGCCGGAACUGACGCUGAGGAGCGAAAGCGUGGGGAGCAAACAGG